rnacentral:SRP_RNA from 1 species
UCGUGCUAGAUGGGGAGACAGCGGUGCCCUGUAACCUGCAAUCCGCUAUAGCAGGAUCGAAUGCCAUGGCGAGGCUUAUGCUGGAUUUGAUUCUUGAAUUAAGUGACGUUGAAGCUUCAUCCUAUUGGAGUUACUUUUAACUGAAUCCCGUCAGGCCCGGAAGGGAGCAGCGGUACGUUUUUAAGCAAUAAGCCGAUGGGUGCUGGAGUGGAGUUUACUGGUUUACAGCUUUAAAUUUCAGGUAAGUCAAACUAUGGCGCACGA